rnacentral:rRNA from 1 species
UACGGAGGGAGCUAGCGUUGUUCGGAAUUACUGGGCGUAAAGCGCGCGUAGGCGGCUUUGUAAGUUAGAGGUGAAAGCCCGGGGCUCAACCCCGGAAUUGCCUUUAAGACUGCAUCGCUUGAAUCCGGGAGAGGUGAGUGGAAUUCCGAGUGUAGAGGUGAAAUUCGUAGAAAUUCGGAAGAACACCAGUGGCGAAGGCGGCUCACUGGACCGGCAUUGACGCUGAGGUGCGAAAGCGUGGGGAGCAAACAGG